ACUGAGAUUCAGUGAGACAAGGACAUUUGUUCAAAUAAAUCUCGUAACUCUGAAGAGGCCUGGAUCUGAGAAGAAUGGGUGCCAGGUAGUCUGACUGGGCUAGUUUUGCCCCAUCAUGGCCCUGUGACAUCCGUUCUGCCUCCCAGCUAGACUGGACUCCCCCAGACCAGGAACUGUGUCCUGGCUCUUCCUAGCACCCAGCUCAGGGAGGGCUAUCAAGGCUGCUGAAAGCAGGUCAAAUGAAGUCAGACAGCAAAGGUGAUUGAAUUUUCAAUCUUGAAAAUACAUCAUGGAACCU
rnacentral:lncRNA from 1 species